rnacentral:rRNA from 1 species
AGCGAACGCUGGCGGCAGGCCUAACACAUGCAAGUCGAGCGCCGUAGCAAUACGGAGCGGCAGACGGGAGAGUAACUCGUGGGAACGUACCCUUUGGUUCGGAACAACCCAGGGAAACUUGGGCUAAUACCGGAUAAGCCCUCACGGGGAAAGAUUCAUCGCCGAAGGAUCGGCCCGCGUCUGAUUAGCUAGUUGGUGGGGUAAUGGCCCACCAAGGCGACGAUCAGUAGCUGGUCUGAGAGGAUGAUCAGCCUCACUGGGACUGAGACACGGCCCAGGCUCCUACGGGAGGCAGCAGUGGGGAAUAUUGGACAAUGGGCGCAAGCCUGAUCCAGCCAUGCCGCGUGGGUGAUGAAGGCCCUAGGGUUGUAAAGCCCUUUCGGCGGGGAAGAUAAUGACGGUACCCACAGAAGAAGCCCCGGCUAACUUCGUGCCAGCCGCCGCGGUAACAC